rnacentral:tRNA from 1 species
ACUUCCUUGACUCAGUUGGUAGAGCGUUGGUCUCACAAUCCAAAGGUUGCCAGUUCGAGCCUGGUAGGAAGCA